GGCAGCAAUGCAUCAUAUGAUUUUUUCUUGAUGCAGAUCCUCAAUAUUAGUUUUCCAAUAAAAAUAUAUCAUUAUUAUUAAAUUAAACAAGAUUUUUUUUUCCAAGAUUACAUUUUAUUUUUCAAUUUUAUUAACAAAAUUGCACUCCCAAUUUACAGCACACCUAGGCAAUUGUCUAAGUUCACUUAAUUAUAGAACAGUCUUUAAUUAAAGUCACACAUGACAUGGGCAUAAAUUUCAGUGAUAGAAUCUAUCAGUAUACUGAUUGUAGCACAAGGCCCCUGGCAGCCAUGAGCUCAAACAGGGACCAGAUCCAAUAUCCGCUUGAUCUACCAUUAAUACAAGUUUAUUUUAUUAAAGAAAUUAUAAUAAAAAUUGAAUUAUAUAUAAACCACUUAUGGACCAUAUAGGUUAUGUAUGUAUGCAUGAAUUUGAAUAUUUCCUUACAACUUAAAAAGUUGAUAUUUGGAGAUGUUAUAAAGGGAUCACCGAAUUGGUUUGUAAGAAAUAUGACAAUCCAGAAUUGCAUUCAUAUGUCACAAGUACUGAAAAUGUUCACUCACCUAGUUACUGCACAAUAUGGUUCUCUUAAAGCAUAUCAUGAAAGGCAUCAAUUAAUUCAUCUGCCUUGAUGCUGUUGGUAACUUCUGUGAUAUUGAUCUUCAAUUCAUCUGGUGUGUGUGAAUUAAUUUCAUACACUUCCUUUAAGGUUCACCACAAAUAAAAGUUACACAUACUGAGAUCAGGUGAAGAAGAGUGUCAACACUUUUUGGAUACUGUUUGCUAUUUUGAUUCAUUAAAGAAUCAAAAUAGAAUAAUUUGUUAUCAAUAUGAUGAUUGAUUUCAUGUUGUAAUUGAAACAAAACUAAACAUAAAAGAAUUUAAAUAUUUGAAAUAUCAACAUAAAAAUAAUAUACACACACCACAUAAUUUAAGCAGGAACAAUUUUAAAAAAAAGAAAGAUUGUUCCUGCUUAAGUGCUGUGGUGUACAUAUAUCCAGACCUCACUUUGCCUCAUUUUAGUUUUCAUACUUAAAUCUUAUAAUACAAACAAAAUCCAUUUGCUUUGAUAUUCACUAUCUUUAUGAAAUUGAUAAAAUAGUAUUCCUAAUGUUAUCUUAUGAUUGUUAGUGUAACCAAAUACAACACAAUAUAGCAUAAUGAAAAUUCUGCAGACCAAUAGUUACAUUAAGUUAAAAAUACAAUAAAUAUUAUAUAUUCUUUUCUAAUCACAUUGCUUUCUUAUUUAAUUUAUCCAGUUUGUUUAGUAUUUCAUAUGCUGCCAUACCAUACAUGAGAUAUAAUGUAUCUGCCAAUAAUCACUUUUAAAUCCCACAACAGGCUGGCCAACAUCCAUGAUGGUGUUAGCUGGACCAUUGAAGCCCAUCACUCAUGAUGGUUAUGGGCUUCAAUGGACUAGGUCUGAAUCCUCCUAAAAAUGGAAGGCAUAGAACUAGGAUUUGAAUCCAGCCUGCAAGAUGAUAAGCAACUGCUUUAUUACACAACCAUCCAACCAACAUUUAAUUUAUCAAAUUUAUAAUGCUAAGUUACUUGAUUCAGCUUUACAUCAUCAACAUGAUGGCUAGUG
rnacentral:lncRNA from 1 species